UACGAAGGGGGCUAGCGUUGUUCGGAAUCACUGGGCGUAAAGCGCACGUAGGCGGAUCUUUAAGUCAGGGGUGAAAUCCCGAGGCUCAACCUCGGAACUGCCUUUGAUACUGGGGAUCUCGAGUCCGGGAGAGGUGAGUGGAACUGCGAGUGUAGAGGUGAAAUUCGUAGAUAUUAGGAAGAACACCGGUGGCGAAGGCGGCCCACUGGUCCGGUACUGACGCUGAGGUGCGAAAGCGUGGGGAGCAAACAGG
rnacentral:rRNA from 1 species